rnacentral:rRNA from 1 species
GGCGAACGCUGGCGGCGUGCCUAACACAUGCAAGUCGAACGGGGUAAUUGCUUCGGUGAUUACUUAGUGGCGAAUGGGUGAGUAACGCGUGAGAAACCUGCCUUUCAGUGGGGGACAACAGUUGGAGACGACUGCUAAUACCGCAUGAUGUUAUUUGAGGGCAUCCUCGGAUAACCAAAGCUUAAUGUGCUGAAAGAUGGUCUCGCGUCUGAUUAGCUAGAUGGCGGGGUAACGGCCCACCAUGGCGACGAUCAGUAGCCGGUCUGAGAGGAUGAACGGCCACAUUGGGACUGAGAUACGGCCCAG